AGAGUUUGAUCAUGGCUCAGAAUGAACGCUGGCGGCGUGCUUAACACAUGCAAGUCGAACGAUGAACCUAGCUUGCUAGGGGAUUAGUGGCGCACGGGUGAGUAAUAUAUAGAUAACGUGCCUCUUAGUCUAGGAUAGCCAUUGGAAACGAUGAUUAAUACUGGAUACUCCUUCUCCUUAUAAUUGGAGUUGGGAAAGUUUUUCGCUAAGAGAUCGGUCUAUAUCCCAUCAGCUUGUUGGUAGUGUAAGAGACUACCAAGGCUAUGACGGGUAGCGGGUUUGAGAGGAUGAUCCGCCACACUGGUACUGAGACACGGACCAGACUCCUACGGGAGGCAGCAGUGAGGAAUAUUGCACAAUGGAGGAAACUCUGAUGCAGCAACGCCGCGUGGAGGAUGACGCAUUUCGGUAUGUAAACUCCUUUUAUGAGUCAAGAAAAUGACGGUAGCUCAUGAAUAAGCACCGGCUAACUCCGUGCCAGCAGCCGCGGUAAUACGGAGGGUGCAAGCGUUAUUCGGAAUCACUGGGCGUAAAGGACGCGUAGGCGGGAUGCCAAGUCUGAUGUGAAAUCCUAUGGCUCAACCAUAGAACUGCAUUGGAAACUGGUAACCUAGAGUAUGGGAGGGGGAGAUGGAAUUAGUGGUGUAGGGGUAAAAUCCGUAGAUAUC
rnacentral:rRNA from 1 species